GCUAAGUGGGGCGCAGGAGCCGCGGUAGUACGUAGUGGGGAUAGGGUGCUGGGAAUCACUGGGCGGAAAGCGGACGUAUGCGGCGUGUGAAGUCAGGGGUGAAAUCCUGGGGCUAAACGCCAGAACUGCCUUUGAUACUGAGGAGCUUGAGUCCGGGAGAUGUGAGUGGAACUGCGAGUGUAGAGGUGAAAUUCGUAGAUAUUCGCAAGAACACCAGUGGCGAAGGCGGCUCACUGGCCCGGUACUGACGCUGAGGUGCGAAAGCGUGGGGAGCAAACAGGAUUAGAUACCCGAGUAGUC
rnacentral:rRNA from 1 species